rnacentral:rRNA from 1 species
CCCAGUAGCGGCGAGUGAGCGGCAAGAGCUAGAAUUGAAAUCGUGUAUCGGCACGAGUUGUAGAGUGUAGGCGGGAGUCUCUGUGGAGCGCGGUGUCCAAGUGAACAGGGUGCCUGAGAGGGUGAGAGCCCCGUAGGGUGCUGCGCGAAGCUUUUGAGGCCCUGCUGACGAGUCGAGUUGUUUGGGAAUGCAGCUCCAAGCGGGUGGUAAAUUCCAUCUAAGGCUAAAUAUUGGCGAGAGACCGAUAGCGAACAAGUACUGUGAAGGAAAGAUGAAAAGCACUUUGAAAAGAGAGUGAAACAGCACGUGAAAUUGUUGAAAGGGAAGGGUAUUGGGCUCGACAUGGGGGGUGCGCACCGCUGUCUCUUGUAGGCGGCGCUCUGGGCGCCCUCUGGGCCAGCAUCGGUUCCUGCUGCGGGAGAAGGGGCUCCGGAAAGUGGCUCUUCGGAGUGUUAUAGCCGGGGCCAGAUGCCGCGUGUGGGGACCGAGGACUGCGGCUUCUGUCUCGGAUGCUGGCAUAACGGCGCAAUACCGCCCGU